ACGCCUCUUUUUCAUCAACAGUUUAUCUUAAUCAUGUUUUUUAGGUAUGGCGUGCUAAGUGAGAAAUGUUCAAGGACCCAUGUUAAAGGGCCGCGCAAAGGUGACCGUACAAAGGGUGCUUUAACUGGAGGCUUGAAAUAAGAGGUUGGAGAGAAAGCAACGAGGUAAAAUUAAGUUUUUGAAAUUAAAUUUUUGAAUAAAAGGUUUAAAUUUAAAGGUUGGAAGUUAUGACCCGGACGAGAAGACCCAAUUGAGGUUAACAGUUUUAGUAUAUUGUUAAAUGAUUUUUUUAUUUUGUUUGGUUGGGGUGACAUGAAGAAUAAAUAAACUCUUCAUUAUUAAAUCAUUGAUUUAUGUUUAUAUGAUCCAUAAAUUAUGAUCAUAAGAUUAAGUUACCUUAGGGAUAACAGCGUAAUUGUUUUUAAGAGCUCUUAUCAACAAAACAGAUUGCGACCUCGAUGUUGGAUUAAGAUUAUUUU
rnacentral:rRNA from 1 species